rnacentral:lncRNA from 1 species
ACCUAAUUAUUCUAUAAACAAACAAAUGAUCUUAAAAAGCAACAAAAUCAAUUCAACCAUCCAUUAUCAGAGGUUCCCACAAUUAAGAACAUUUCUCACUAUCCACGCACCCAACUAUCAAUUGCAAUUCUAGUCAAGGAUAAUAAGGGACUCGGAACAUCAAGAAGCAUAAAAUUCAAAAAUUUGAUAAAGAAACCACACUUCUUCUCAUUUGCUAAGCAAGCCAAGCCUAUUAAAACUACAAAAUAUCCCUCAAGGGAUUGGAUCAGGCGGUAAGGUAGUGCAUGCACGUCCCAUUAACUCAUAUGCAUUACACACAAAUACUUUAAAUUUUGGCUCCAACACAAGAGUGGAGUAAUUACAUAUGUGUGUGAAUAUCAGUAAGNN